rnacentral:rRNA from 1 species
GAGGAAUAUUGGUCAAUGGACGAGAGUCUGAACCAGCCAAGUAGCGUGAAGGAUGACUGCCCUAUGGGUUGUAAACUUCUUUUAUACGGGAAUAAAGUUAGCCACGUGUGGCUUUUUGUAUGUACCGUAUGAAUAAGGAUCGGCUAACUCCGUGCCAGCAGCCGCGGUAAUACGGAGGAUCCGAGCGUUAUCCGGAUUUAUUGGGUUUAAAGGGAGCGUAGGCGGGUUGUUAAGUCAGUUGUGAAAGUUUGCGGCUCAACCGUAAAAUUGCAGUUGAUACUGGCGACCUUGAGUGCAACAGAGGUAGGCGGAAUUCGUGGUGUAGCGGUGAAAUGCUUAGAUAUCACGAAGAACUCCGAUUGCGAAGGCAGCUUACUGGAUUGUAACUGACGCUGAUGCUCGAAAGUGUGGGUAUCAAACAGGAUUAGAUACCCUGGUAGUCCACACAGUAAACGAUGAAUACUCGCUGUUGGCGAUAUACGGUCAGCGGCCAAGCGAAAGCAUUAAGUAUUCCACCUGGGGAGUACGCCGGCAACGGUGAAACUCAAAGGAAUUGACGGGGGCCCGCACAAGCGGAGGAACAUGUGGUUUAAUUCGAUGAUACGCGAGGAACCUUACCCGGGCUUAAAUUGCAACUGACUGAACCGGAAACGGUUCUUUCUUCGGACAGUUGUGAAGGUGCUGCAUGGUUGUCGUCAGCUCGUGCUGUGAGGUGUCGGCUUAAGUGCCAUAACGAGCGCAACCCUUAUCGAUAGUUACUAGCAGGUCAUGCUGAGGACUCUAUUGAGACUGCCGUCGUAAGAUGUGAGGAAGGUGGGGAUGACGUCAAAUCAGCACGGCCCUUACGUCCGGGGCUACACACGUGUUACAAUGGGGGGUACAGAAGGCAGCUACACGGCGACGUGGUGCUAAUCCCGAAAGCCUCUCUCAGUUCGGAUUGGAGUCUGCAACCCGACUCCAUGAAGCUGGAUUCGCUAGUAAUCGCGCAUCAGCCACGGCGCGGUGAAUACGUUCCCG